GGAUCCGCCACUGCAUCAAUUCGUUCUUCUUAAUAAACGAUGACCAUCAAACUGUUACAGCAUGUAUUGCAAACUGUUGAAGAAGAACGAAUUGACGGCAUUGACAGUAUGUUAUGAACAGACGUAAUUUAAUUUUAUAUAUAUAUCAGAUAAAUUUGCAUUCAUUUUAAUUAUUUCAAAUAAUUCACUGCGGUCUUUAUUUCAUAGCAAUUCACUUUUUUCACUGCCGAUUGUAUAUAUCAUAGCAAUUCGCUUUUCUCCUUUUGUCACUGCCGAGUCUAAAUUUCAUAACAAUGCACUUAAUUUUCUCAUUUUUUUCCUUCAGAUUAUCAACCGAACCAAAAUGCCGGACCUAAAUGUAAAAGAUAUGUUGUUAUUAUUGUUUUCUGGUUACACCCUGGUUAGUUUAUAUUAUAUGACAUCAUCAAAAAAAGAUGACAAUUCAUUUACGGUUCAGAGUUUUCAGUGUGAUUCAAGUAUAGAUAGUAUAUGCAAGCAACGAAAUACUGUGUCAGGUAUGCUGAAUAGACUGAGUCAAAAGAUGGGGAAGCUGCAGUGUGAGAGAAGCAAAGGGACAGCUGAAGGAGGGGGAUAUUGUAAACGAGGUGUGCAUUUGGGAGCAGAUAAAACACUUCUACCUGCAUUGUCCAACUUUUUAGAAGGAAAAAAAGUCGCUAGCUUCGGGGACGGAACUGGGCAGUAUAAAAAUGAGCUUUUGAAAUUAAAGAAGAUAAAAUCAUACGAUUCAUACGAUGGUGGACCAUUUUCUGAAGAGGAGAGCAAGGGAAUUGUUAGAUAUAUGGACCUUACAAUUCCUCAUUAUGGACUACCAGUGUAUGAUUGGGUAGUUUCAAUUGAAGUAGCUGAGCAUAUACCAAAGCAAUACGAGGGUAUAUUUUUAGAUAAUAUUUUUAGACAUGCAAAAGAAGGAAUUAUUUUAAGUUGGGCUGUUCCUGGACAAGGUGGAUUCCGACAUAUUAACAAUAGAUCGGUCCAAUACGUCAUGCAAGUUAUGAAUAAAAACGGAUUUCAGCUUGAUGAAAAUUCGUCAAAACUUUUACAACAAUCUUGCACUUUUCCACAUCUUAAACGUAACCUCUACGUAUAUACCAGAAGAUUACCAUUUAAUAAUCAAAAUUUGUAUGUAUAACUUAAAGAAUAAGAUAUUGUAGGUGUAUACUAUUGACACAUGGAAUUAAGAAAUAAAGAUAUAUUAUAAAUCUAUCAAUUAAAUCAGAUGUUCAAAAGACAGAUAUGAAUAUACAUAUUUCGGAAUUUUG